rfam:Triticum aestivum genome assembly, contig: Triticum_aestivum_CS42_TGACv1_scaffold_221261_3B
GUGGUACUCCCUCCGUCCGAAAAAACUUGUCCCAAGCUUAUACCUCAAAUGGAUGUAUCUAGCACUAACUUGGUGCUAGAUACAUUCAUUUGAGGGACAAACUUUUUCGGACGGAGCGAAUAGUAC